AGUGAACGCUGGCGGUAGGCCUAACACAUGCAAGUCGAACGGCAGCACAGUAAGAGCUUGCUCUUACGGGUGGCGAGUGGCGGACGGGUGAGGAAUACAUCGGCAUCUACUUUUUCGUGGGGGAUAACGUAGGGAAACUUACGCUAAUACCGCAUACGACCUACGGGUGAAAGCAGGGGAUCUUCGCACCUUGCGCGAUUGAAUUAGCCGAUGUCGGAUUAGCUAGUUGGCGGGGUAAAGGCCCACCAAGGCGACGAUCCGUAGCUGGUCUGAGAGGAUGAUCAGCCACACUGGAACUGAGACACGGUCCAGACUCCUACGGGAGGCAGCAGUGGGGAAUAUUGGACAAUGGGCGCAAGCCUGAUCCAGCCAUACCGCGUGAGUGAAGAAGGCCUUCGGGUUGUAAAGCCCUUUUGUUGGGAAAGAAAAGCAGCAGGUUAAUACCCCGCUGUUCUGACGGUACCCAAAGAAUAAGCACCGGCUAACUUCGUG
rnacentral:rRNA from 1 species